rnacentral:tRNA from 1 species
GGGCUCGUAGUGAAGCGGUUAUCACGCCUCCCUGUCACGGAGGAGAUCGCCGGUUCAAGUCCGGUCGGGCCCGCCA